UCUAUCUAUCUAUAUCUAUCUAUCUAUCUAUCUAUAACUCUAUACCUAUACUAAUUACAGACUCCCUAAUAAUUCCCACGUUAAUUAGAAAUUAAGAGCCGUUUAUCUAAUGUGAUUAGAAAGCCGUUUAUCUGAUGUGAUCAAAUUAUAACGGCGGCGAUUAAUCCGUGCAAUCCUCGACCAGUUCCGGCCAAUUCCCAUAGUAAAAUCAGAAAUUAGCCCAUCUUCCUCCUCCACCUCACAAUUUCUCUGCCGCUUCUCCUUGCCCUAGAGAUUACCGGGCUAGAUCUCAACUUUCCAUCCAUGCUGCUAUCCAAUCUCCAUGUGUUCCUUUGAUUUAGAAAAGUUUACAUCGCAAGAGCAUUGGUGAGGUGGAGCAGGGGAGGUGGUUGGAUCGGGGCUGGUGGUGCUGCGAUGCCGAGGCAGUGGUCGGGGAGACGUCGUGCUGCAGCCGAGGAAGCUCGAGAGGCGGCGACUAAAGGACGCUCUACUGGAUGUGGAGAAUCUCCAUGGCGCGAUGGAUGAGGUGGGCGAGUAGAUGGGCAGCCGACGAGGUACACCGUACACAGGAGGCGGCGAUGCCAUGGACGGCGUAGAGCCGAGGUGCGGCGAGCAGAUGGGCAGUCGGCGAGGCGCACAGGAAGCGGCGGCGCCCUAGACAGCUGCAGAGGAGAGAGGCCACAAGGGGAGGAGGAGCUCAGGCGGAGCAACUCCUCGCUUCUGUCUCCAUGUCCAAAGUAGUAUCCCUCGAGGAUGCAGUUCUCAAAAAAUAUAGAUCACAAUCUAAUUUGUCCUCUCCUUGAUCCCCUUCUUCCAAGGAUUGAAUCUCUUCAGUUCCAAAAUUCAAAUCAGUGCACAAUCAUCAUCUUAAACAAACACAAGAUCCAAUCCCAGCCUCCCCGGAUGCUUUGCUCCUCAAUAUUUAAAUCCCCUCAGUUUCACCAAGCACCAUGAUUUUUCAUAAGAAUUGAGUGUUGGUCAGUUGGAAGAUGGAGAAAGUUUGAAACAGGUCGAGCGGUCGUCACCAUCGGCGAGGCUGCGAAGUGGACGAACAACACUCCCUUCACGCAGGCAGAGCAAGUGUUUUUCCAUGAAAGAGUCAAAUACUGGACAAGAAGCUCACACUUUGAUGUUUACAUGAGGCUGAGGCGCUGAGCGAUUUUGGUGUUUGAGAAAAGUUCCUACAAACAAACUUGAGCUCUCAAAGAACUGCAAGUGUCUGAUACAUCGCCAAACCUAAUUAAGUUGUGUUGUAGGGUUCCUGCGGGCGGACAGCAAGAGGCACACGCACGGUGGAAGCAGGUAGGUGGUGGAUGCGGCGACAACUGCGAGCUCCAUGUCUCCGGCAGCCGCGUCGCCUUCUUCGCUAGACAAUUAUAUUAUACAUCUGCUAAGGGUAACUACAAGGUGUUCUUCACAGAGCUCAAUUGAGCUAAAUUAGUCGAGUUGUUGGGUAAUCUAACUAAGCAUCCUUUUGGAACUAUGCUUUCAUCACGUAUUGGAAAGAUAGCAGAACAUACAUAUCAUCCACAUGCAAAGAACUGAAAUAAUUAAAGAUAGUGUGAAUUAGUACAAUUUACUGCAGAUUCGAGAACUAUUGUAAACAUUGCAAUGGAAUACUUCAGAUUUAGUAGAAUUUGUUGUAAGGUAAUGAUAUUACGUAUAUAAAUGAUUGAAAACAAUUUAAUUAGUUGUUUCCUUCUAUGUUAUUUUUAAAAUAUAAUUUCACAGAAUUAGCCUUUUGAUUCAUUUUGUUUUCUAUGAUAAAUUCGCGAUUACUAUGUCAAAUGUAAGAAACCUAUAUAUUAAGAUGCCUUUCUUCAUGUAAAUUGUGUAGACCUUAGAUUACUAGGUUGAUUGUAUUCUCUUAGCAUUGCUCAUCGUGCCUUGAAAGAAUGUGUUUCCAACAGUGCUAGAACUGUUUAAAAAUGUCAGGAAUGAUAUCGUCCGCAUCAUCAGUUGAUGAGAGAAAUAUGUGCAGAAGAUUUUUAUAGGAUCAUUUCAGGCUUAGACAUAAGUCGUAGAUAAUUGAUUUACAUCCAAUAACAACCUAGAAAGUGUUUGAAACUCAAGAUAUAAAAUUGACUUUGGAAUCAAGAAGUUUUCAUUGCAUAUGUAUAUAUGACUAUCAUAUAUGCUAGAUUAUCAUAUAAUUAUAUACGAUCAUUAAGUAUCCACUAUUCACAAUAUCAUGUACGACUAGAAGGUUUUUACAAGAUUGUGAUGUAGUGGCUGGGCAUGCCGGGCCACAUAUCAUGAAAUCCCUCCUCUCUUCUCCAUCUUGAUGAAUUCAUCGGAGAGCCACCAAUAUUUUUGCUUUAUUCGUAAUGUCUCAUCAAGACAUUUUUUUGGUUUUGUACAUUUUUCACGACACAACGCUUACCAGACUAUGAAUUAUAGGGAGUGAAGGAGAACCAACCAGCUGCGAUAAUCUGUGUGGCAUUUGCUGCCAACUAGCAGAGUUGUGUACAUAUAGAAAUCAACCACUGUCAGCCAAAUCUUUUUGAUGUUUAUAGAAGCUUUAUAGACGUUUUCCUAUGUAAAGGAUUUCGAGAUUGUACGUUUUUCUUCCAAUAUGUGCUAACUUUCAGAUUAUCUGCAUGUAUAACAAACAUUUCUUUUGUCCAGGAAUAAGAAUCAUAUCUUAUGAAGUGUAUAAUAUUUUAUUGGUAGAUUUGUAAGAUUUAAGUAUUGUUGGUUGUGCAAGAAAAUAGCUUCAUGUAUGGAUUAUUGAGUUACACAUGCUUCUGUUUAUGGUUUGUUUGUUGUAUUUGGAAACAGAUCUAGAUAGAUGAUCUUUAUAAUACAGAACAUUCAUAUUAAAUUUUCCUGUGUUUUUAGCCAUGUAAUCCAUAUUAUCAUUGUUUUUUUAAUAAUAUGUGUGAUCCUUCCUUUGGAGUUACAGUAUUCAGAUAGCAUAGUUUCCACUUACAGAAAAUAUGCUAAAAGAAUUUUCAGGUACACUUUCCGAGUGCCCUCACAGUGAUUUUCAUGUUUCUUGCAAGGGCUUCUACAUAAGGAUAAAUCUGUUCUAAAAAAAUAGUAGAUUUAUGUAGUCCCGUUAUGCGCAGCAAUAUUCACGCAUGCCUCUACAUCUACUUCAUUGAAUAGUAAUCUGCAAUCUUCAUUAGCAUAGAACAAAAAAAUCUGUGAGAAAACUUACACAUCUUUAUCUCAAAUCGUUAAAUGGGUUUAGGUACUACCAAUUUCAAUAUGGUCGCUUAUGUUUCUUUUGUCAUUGAUAGUUUCUCACAAGUCCUAACUUCCACAGGUAAGGAAUUGAUUUACCUCUUGAUAGUUUUCUUGCUUUUGGAAUUUAUCUUUCUGUUGCAACCAAAUUACAUUAUUAUUUUCUGUAAGUCGAAGUUGAAAUCCAUGGUUUCUCUAUGCUGGUAAAAAAUAAAGUUCCCCAUCUCUUUUCUUAACACAAUAUGCAUCUUAUCUUCUCUCAUGUAAGCAAUCUCGAUAAGACUCCUCUAUCUUUAAACCACACUCAAGUCCAUGGUUUCCUCGGCGCGACAAACUAUAGUUGGAUCAGUGUUUCAAAAGACGUGGCGUGGGCUUGAAGGAUACGCCGAAGGCAUCCGAUGGUCGGAGGGAUCGUCAAGGGGAGGUUCCCAGGGUUAUGAACUACCAAGUAAUUUGUAUUUUCUUUAUUAUUGUAUUUUUUGUUUGUCCUAAAUACUAGAUUCAUAUUUCUUGCUUUCCACUGUUUGUAAUAUGAUCCAAACUCCUCACGUGUUUAUGUUGCUUGAAUAUUUCAGACUGAGUUAGAAGUAAACCACAUGUCUUUCAUAGUACUUCUGGAUGGUCACAGCUAAAAUGAUAGCCUGGCUGUGUACACUAUUUGGUCACAGCUAAAAUGAUAGCCUGGUUGUGUACAUUACUUCGAGAAUUUCUCUGACCAACCACUGUUACUUAUAAACUACAGAGGCUCAUUGGCCUAUCCACAACUAUUUCAGAUUGUUAAACCUCGCCUAAUCUCAUUGUAUCUUUUUGAAUUAUGUUUUGGCUAGAAUUAUCAUACAUGAUUUAUCUUCGCCUCUUUCAUACACAUUCUUUCUGCAUGAGAAUUGAGGAGGUUAAACAAUGGCAUAAAUCAGAACAGUGACACACUUAUCAUGAGAUGGUACUUCUGUACAAACAGGGUAAGAAAGCUAUUGGAAUUUGUUGAACUUAUUAAUCGGUGAUGUUGUAAUAACUGACAAAGAGGUUGCUGAGUUCAGUCUUACAAAUAGAAAGAUGCAUGGGUACUUCUGCCCAGUCUCUAUUUUGUUUUCAGUAGUGAAGCUACAACUACUUUUUGUUUUUAGUGUGAAAACUCCAAUUUUUCCGCAUAUAGCCAGAUUCUCAAACGAUUUUGAAGACCUUUAGUCUAUUUUGUACGCCCAUGGAGAUGCUUGCUAAGUACAGUUGCAUCACAAAAUCUUAUGUGUGUUGUGGACUAUUCUUACCCGUUGAUAAUGCUACUUAGGAAACCACUUGGAUGCCAUCGCAGAACAGAGAAAGAGGCGCUAUGGACUAGGGUUUACAUGCUGGCUACGACCGACUGAAAACAUAAGACAUGGAUUGACACAGAAACAUGAAAAAGAAGAAACAAAAAUAAACAUUAUAGCCCAGUUAUAAGAACAGUGGUUUCUCUCAACGACGCAUGCUUAGUUGGCGGAGUAUGCUCCUGGCAUAUACUAGGUUAAGUGAUGUUCCAGAGUACACAUGGAAAGUGACUUGAUGGAAGCCAAGAAAAAAUAUACUGUAUCUCAAUCUAAGUGGCAACCAGUUCCAACGUGUAUAAUUAUUAUGUGCUAAUGCACAAAAGUCCUCAAGUAUAUCACUCAUCAUGGCACUAGCUUCCUGUUCAUGGCGCGCCCAUGCCGCUGUAUGUU